UAUAACUACAUGUCGAGUAAUACCAAGAGAAAUAAACGGUGGCUGCUUUCCAUUAAAGCAAAGCAAGAAAGAGCAAAUUGAUAAACGAAAUAUGGUUUGCGAAAUCGUAAGCCGAUGCAUGCAAUAUUUACAGAGGAGCAAUAUAAAUUGUUUCCAAAAAGGGUUAUGAGAGUAUGGAAUCAGUCAAGGAGUUCUUCCAACUCAAGGAUGUGCCUCUUUCCUACUACACAUGAAUCCUCGGCAUCUCAUUUUUGGUUUACGGGAGUUUAGGAUUUGGAAACGUGCUCAUAUCUCUGGGUAUAAGAAUGUUGUAGUUCAUAACUAAAUACUCCUUACGUUACCUGGUGCAACCUUCUCCAAGAAUAUUAUACGGAUUUUUCCCUACUCCAGGUAUGUUAAGGCCCUCCCUUCUUUCUUUUCGCAUGAUCCAUACGAUAUGAACGAAACGUGCAAAUGCACAAAUUCCAUAAGUGACUUUACUCAUAUAAAUAAUAAAAAUAUCUAUGUUCUUUACUUCCCAUGUGUCAUAAUAUUUUAUCAUUUGUUCAUGAGUCUCAGAAAAAUAUGAAAGUUGAAAAGAUAUUACUUUAUGAUAUUGCUCAAGAGGCAAAGUGGUCUUAUGACCUUCUGAAUGAUUUUAUUGACGUACUUUUCAUGCAUUGCAUUCAUGUGCAUUGACCCAUGACCAUAUGGCGUUAUAUACGCGUAUAUAUGUAAAUAUAUGUAUAUGGGAUAUGGGAAAAGGUUAUGGCGUUAUAUACGCACCACCACCUGAUCAGCUGGUAUAUGAUGACGAUGUUGCCCACAGUGGCUGAAAUAUAAUUUAAACGGUGUUAUAUACGCAUAUAUAUGUAAAUAUGAUUCAAACGACUUUAUAUACGCGUAUAUAUGCAUGUAUAUAUGUAUAUGGGAUAUGGGAAAGGUUAUGGCGUUAUAUACGCACCACCACCUGAUCAGUUGGUAUACGGUGAUGAUUUUGCCCACAGUGGCCGAUAUGAUAUGAUGGCAUGCCCUCAGAGGCUGAUGAUGUUAUGAAAUAUGUAACUAUGCACGACAUGACAUUCAUACGCAUACGCAUGACACUAAAAGUAAUUUAUGAUUUACAAAGUUAUUCAGACUUACAAGUUGAGUCAUGUACUUUAUAUGUCUUCCAUGUCUCUUAUGUAUUUAUUUAUGUACCUUACACACUCAGUACAUUAUUCGUACCGAUGUCCAUUUUUCCUGGGACGCUGCGUUUCAUGCCCUCAGGACCCGAUAGACAGGUCAAGAGCCCUCUAUGUAGGCUAUCAGCUCAGCGGAAGAUGUUGGUGCGCUCCACUUGCUUCGGAGUUGCUUGUUUAGUUAGUAUGAGUUAGACGUAUAUUGUUUGGUAUGGCGGGACUCUGUCUCGACCUUUAUGAUAUUUAUGUAUUUUUAGAGGCUUGUAGACAUAUGUCGUGUACGUGAAAGAUUGUACGGCCUUGUCGGCCUAUGUUUUGAGUUUAUAAAUGAUUAUGUUGGCC
rnacentral:lncRNA from 1 species